AUGGCUUCCCUGGCCCGAAAUACCGUGCUGCUCCUUGUCCUGGUCGGCAUCGUUCUGCAGCUGAGCUCCAUCAUGCCAGCUGCGGCGGCUGGCAGGAUGCUUGCAGAGGACGUACUGAAGUGUGAAGGCGGGUUGGUAUUCAAGAGAGAUCCCUCCAUUAGCGGCGGCGGCAUGUGCGUCGUAGCCGAGAUACUCAAGUGCGGCGGCGGGUUGGUAUUCAAGGAAGAUCCCUCCGUUAGCGGCGGCGGCGAGUGCGUCGUAGCCGACGUACUCAAGUGCGGCGCCGGGUUCGAAUUCAAGGAAGAUCCAUCCAUUAGCGGCGGUGGCGGGUGCGUCGUAGCCGCCGUAGUAAACUGCGGCGCCGGGUUUGAAUUCAAGAAAGAUCCCUCCAUGAGCGGCGGCGGCGGAUGCGUCGUAGCCGCGUUACUCAAGUGCGGCACUGGGUUCGAAUUCAAGGAAGAUCCCUCUAUUCGCGGCGGCGGCGAGUGCGUUGUAACCAACGAAGUCAAGUGCGACGCCGGAAUCAUCAAACCAACACCAGGUACGCACUACGCAGCACACACGUUAACCUCCGAGUCCCCAUUACAUUGCCACCUGCCUAGUACAAAAGCAAAGCUCCACGUUUCGGUAUUGAUGGCUUCCCUGGCCCGAAAUACCGUGCUGCUCCUUGUCCUGGUCGGCGUCGUUCUGCAGCUGAGCUCCAUCAUGCCGGCCGCGGUGGCUGGCAGGAUGCUUGCAGAGGACGUAUUGAAGUGUGAAGGCGGGUUGGUAUUCAAGAGAGAUCCCUCCAUUAGCGGCGGCGGCAUGUGCGUCGUAGCCGACAUACUCAAGUGCGGCGGCGGGUUGGUAUUCAAGGAAGAUCCCUCCAUUAGCGGCGGCGGCGAGUGCGUCGUAGCCAACGUACUCAAGUGCGGCGCCGGGUUCGAAUUCAAGGAAGAUCCAUCCAUUAGCGGCGGUGGCGGGUGCGUCGUAGCCGCCGUAGUCAACUGCGGUGCCGGUUUCGAAUUCAAGAAAGAUCCCUCCAUGAGCGGCGGCGGCGGAUGCGUCGUAGCCGCCUUACUCAAGUGCGGCGCUGGGUUCGAAUUCAAGGAAGAUCCCUCCAUUCGCGGCGGCGGCGAGUGCGUUGUAACCAACGUAGUCAAGUGCGACGCCGGCUUCGAAUUCAAGAAAGACAACCCCCCUACCGGCGGCGGCAAGAUAACAGUGACUAUUUUAUCCAAGGCUGGGGCGCCCCCCUCCCGUCCUUCGUUUAGCUAUGCCAUUGUUUCGUCUGAGCAGCUUGCAGUUGCACGGCAAACUCCUUGCAAAAGUGUAGAUCACCCUCGUGGCAAUCCAGCCAAUGAUGGGCAUGCAAAGGCCCAAUAUCAUCCAUUUCAUGCUAGCCCAGGAGGAAGCCGGAUAGCACGAUAUUGCUCCGGGCUCGACAGCUUUUUGAUGCGCUGGUGGUUGCGCUCCAUCCAACAAGAUGUGCCCAUGGUUGUAGUCCGUGCUGUGAUGAAGAUUGGUUCAAUUUUAAAGGUUGAGGCUGCUGGGGCUAGCAUAUAUAAACUGUCUGAUGAAGUUACUAAUAGGAAGGAAUUUCCGUUGAAGGUCGAGCAAAUAAGUGAGCCACUGUUAAUGUCAGGAGGUGUUAUAGGGAAGAUAGGCACAGUGUACGGCACGGACGAAGUUGCCAAGAGUUGUAUUGGACAGGCCCGCAAACUGGCCUAUCACGUUGAAGAUGUAAUCGACAAAUUAUCAUACCAUAUUCUUCAACAUCAGAAAGAAGGAUUCCUGAAAAAAGUUUUCCUCAAAGAACCAGACUAUGUCAAACUUUUCAGUUAA
rnacentral:rRNA from 1 species